rnacentral:misc_RNA from 1 species
GCAAAUCAUAAAACAUGAACUAUGUAAAUUCAAGACAGGCUGUUGCAUGAUGUGUAAGAAACACCAAAAGGCAAAGUAAAAGAAAGGAGAAUUUUUUUGAACAAAUUAGUGACACCAUGAGAUUAUUUCCAUAAAUCAAUUAUAUAAAUUGAUAUAUACAAUAAGAACAAGUGUGUAACUAAUUUAUGUACUAGUUAAGAAUUGAGAACAAAUAACCUACAGCAGUUUAUCUUGAAAACAUAUGUUUCAAAUUAAUUUGUGCAAUAUUACUGGAAACUUGACUAUCU